AACACUGGUGUCCAGGCAUGUGCCCGGUGGAAGAGGGGCACAGGUGACCUCCCCACCUGACCUCGUAAUCCGCCUGCCUUGGCCUUUUUUUUUUUUUUUUUUGAGAUGGAGUCUUGCUCUGUUGCCCAGGCUAGAGUGUAGUGGUACAAUCUUGGCUCACUGCAACCUCUGCCUCCCAGGUUCAAGUGAUUCUCCUGCCUCNNNNNNNNNNCAAGUGAUUCUCCUGCCUCAGCCUCCUGAGUAGGUGGGAUUACAGGCACGCACCACCAGGCCUGGCUAAUUUUUUUGUAUUUUUAGUAGAGACGGGGUUUCACCAUGUUGGUCAGGCUGGUCUCGAACUCCUGACCUUGUGAUCUGCCCGCCUCAGCCUCCCAAACUGCUGGGAUUACAACAUCCUUACUUUCUUCCCCAGAUCUCAAGCCUUUUUAGGCAGCUUUCCUACCAAAAUCCCUGAAGUGCUGCCUUCUCACAGAUGAGCUAAGUGACCACCUGCUAUGGCCUCCCCAUUCCGGUUCAUCGUCACUCACCUGGACACCAUUCUUUUGUCUCCUUCCUCUUAACCAUCCAGGGCUCUUUCUUCUGCUCCAAUAAGGAGAUCACAUUUGGCUUAGUAUCAGAAAGCCCUGCUCAAAAACAAAGGGAACAAGGUUUUGUUGUGGGUGUCAGAAUUAAAAAUCAGUCCCUAAUUACCAAGAAAGAGGAGCAGGUAGAUUAAGAGUCAGAAGAAGGAGUGAGGGUCAGAGCACCAUAAUAAAUCAACAUUAAUUCCUUUCUUGUCUAAUUAGAAAACAAGUUUGCAAUAUGUGAUUCCACUUAACCAUUCAUUUCCACUUCAUCAAAUCACAGCUCCAAGAAGGGAGGUAUGAAAAUAAUGAAGAUAAAGGUGCCUGCUGGAACAGCCAAUUUCCAACUUCACAAGAGACAAACCAUUCUUUUGGUGAGCAAGAAACAUUAACUCAUCCAGGUACUUGAAAAGCACUUGGGACAAACUCAGAAAAAAGAACAUAAGAAUUUCAGAAGGCCAGUUGUGUGUUUGGCGGGGCAGGGGGUGUACGGAGGGGCAGAUACAGUUAUCCAGUAAGACCAGGUUGCCGUAAUUUUCUAACAUUACAUCUCGGUACAAAUCCUUCUGAGCAGAGUGCAAGCAUUCCCACUCCUUUUGAGAGAAGUAAAUGACCACAUCUUUGAACUUCAAGCCCUGAAACCACAAAUAAAUAUACCAUUUGUGAAAUUCAUGGACAAAAUCUUUAAGACAACAUAAAAGAAAAUGGAGAAAGCAAUUCAAUAGGGAAGUUCCAUUAGGAAAACAGGCCAUACUGGCUCCUUCAACAUGGAGGGGUCGGUGUGGAAACAGGGGUGAUCAGAGUGAAGUGCCCACAUGGUUCUUGGGCAUGCUUACUCCUGCAGAGGUAGCCUCUGGGCACUUCCAUUAUCUACCCAGGUCAGAGAAUAAACUAAGUCCAUGUAAGUGCUGUUUCCCAAUUAAAUGAAACUGUACGUGCAAGUACACGGAACACCCUAUGUUAAGCACACAAACUUCUCAUUGCCUCUUCCUCUUUCCCAUUCAAUAAAUUAAAUCCUGAAUCAGUUUUCUACAUCACCAAAAAUUCUUAAAUACACAGCAAUUUUACUGGCUGCAUGAUUCCUCAUAUAAUAUAUUCAAUGUUCUUGUUUUGAGGAAGUAGGUUGGAGAAGUUUUCUAAAGGUUCUUUUGCAGUUAUAAUAGUCAUUCAUUAUUUUUCAACGAUUUUUUUUUUUUGAGACAGAGUCUCACUUGGGUGCCCAGGCUGGAGUACAGUGGCACCAUCUCCGCUCACUGCUACCUCUGUCUCCCAGGCUCAAGCGAUUCUCCUGCCUCACCCUCCUGAGUAGCUGGGACCACAGGCAUGGGCCACCACAUCUGGCUAAUUUUUGUAUUUUUAGUACAGACAGAGUUUCCCAAUGAUGGCCAGGCUGGUCUUGAACUCCUGGCCUCAAGUGAUCUACCCGCCUUGGCCUCCCAAAGUGCUGGGAUUACAGGCAUGAGCCACCGUGCCUGGUCAUUUCUCAACAAUUUAUACAUCUGGCUAAAUUGUUCCUGUCACCACAAAUGUCCCCAACCAUACUCUCCUUGUUCCUUAGCUACCAGAACUGAUGGAGAAAGAUCCAGACUCACAACGAUGUCACACGAGGUGUGCACAUACUACACAAGUUCAAAAUGGACACACUUUAUCCAUCUGGCACAGACUCCUUGGGAAUAUACUGUAACUCCAUACAAUCUACAUAUCUCAGGAUAUCCCCAGUCCUAAAAUCCUCAGACAGCUAGAGAUACUGGCUGAUACUGAGACUGCAACACAAUAAAUCAACAUCAAUUCCUUUCUUGUCUAAUUAGAAAACUCAAGUUUGCAAUAUGUGAUUCCACUUAACCAUUCAUUUCCACUUCAUCAAAUCACAGCUCCAA
rnacentral:lncRNA from 1 species